rnacentral:rRNA from 1 species
GACGAACGCUGGCGGCGUGCUUAACACAUGCAAGUCGAACGGAAAGGCCCUGCUUUUGUGGGGUGCUCGAGUGGCGAACGGGUGAGUAACACGUGAGUAACCUGCCCUUGACUUUGGGAUAACUUCAGGAAACUGGGGCUAAUACCGGAUAGGAGCUCCUGCUGCAUGGUGGGGGUUGGAAAGUUUCGGCGGUUGGGGAUGGACUCGCGGCUUAUCAGCUUGUUGGUGGGGUAGUGGCUUACCAAGGCUUUGACGGGUAGCCGGCCUGAGAGGGUGACCGGCCACAUUGGGACUGAGGUACGGCCCAGACUCCUACGGGAGGCAGCAGUGGGGAAUAUUGCACAAUGGGCGGAAGCCUGAUGCAGCAACGCCGCGUGCGGGAUGACGGCCUUCGGGUUGUAAACCGCUUUCGCCUGUGACGAAGCGUGAGUGACGGUAAUGGGUAAAGAAGCACCGGCUAACUACGUGCCAGCAGCCGCGGUGAUACGUAGGGUGCGAGCGUUGUCCGGAUUUAUUGGGCGUAAAGGGCUCGUAGGUGGUUGAUCGCGUCGGAAGUGUAAUCUUGGGGCUUAACCCUGAGCGUGCUUUCGAUACGGGUUGACUUGAGGAAGGUAGGGGAGAAUGGAAUUCCUGGUGGAGCGGUGGAAUGCGCAGAUAUCAGGAGGAACACCAGUGGCGAAGGCGGUUCUCUGGGCCUUUCCUGACGCUGAGGAGCGAAAGCGUGGGGAGCGAACAGGCUUAGAUACCCUGGUAGUCCACGCUGUAAACGGUGGGUACUAGGUGUGGGGUCCAUUCCACGGGUUCCGUGCCGUAGCUAACGCUUUAAGUACCCCGCCUGGGGAGUACGGCCGCAAGGCUAAAACUCAAAGGAAUUGACGGGGCCCCGCACAAGCGGCGGAGCAUGCGGAUUAAUUCGAUGCAACGCGUAGAACCUUACCUGGGUUUGACAUGGAUCGGGAGUGCUCAGAGAUGGGUGUGCCUCUUUUGGGGUCGGUUCACAGGUGGUGCAUGGCUGUCGUCAGCUCGUGUCGUGAGAUGUUGGGUUAAGUCCCGCAACGAGCGCAACCCUUGUUCACUGUUGCCAGCACGUUAUGGUGGGGACUCAGUGGAGACCGCCGGGGUCAACUCGGAGGAAGGUGGGGAUGACGUCAAGUCAUCAUGCCUCUUAUGUCCAGGGCUUCACGCAUGCUACAAUGGCUGGUACAGAGAGUGGCGAGCCUGUGAGGGUGAGCGAAUCUCGGAAAGCCGGUCUCAGUUCGGAUUGGGGUCUGCAACUCGACCUCAUGAAGUCGGAGUCGCUAGUAAUCGCAGAUCAGCAACGCUGCGGUGAAUACGUUCCCGGG